AGCUGCCUCUCUAUGAGUCGUCGCCCUUGCCAUUGGGGUGCCUCCUCAUUCCUCGGAUGCGCUGUCAGUGGCCUCCAUGAGCUGCUACUUGCCGGGGGCCACCGCCACGGCCGGUGAUGGAGGGGCCAACGCCGGUGGCGGGGGGAGUGGCCGCAGCUGCCUCUGCUAGUAUGGGAGGGGCUACUGCCGCCGGAGCCCUCACGUGAGGGCGAACCGUAUUGCCGCAAGAGAUCACCUUGGGAGACUGAGGUGGCUAGCCGGAUCUAGUACAUCCAUGGCAAGAUCUAGAGCAGCCCCGACCGGUGGCAUAGGCACGGGCACGGUAGCUAUGCGCACAUCACGACUGGGUGGACGCAUGGGGUUUGGUGUUUACGGCCACACCCUGCGAUGCCUGGAAAAUCGAAGGAACUUGAUUAUGCCGUCUACAUGUGCUGGUUGAAGAGAUCGAACAAUCCUGCUGGUGCCUCAUAUGAAUAGUUGUUAAUUACAAAAAAAAUAUCAUAAUGUAUCUGGUACUAUUGAAAUGCGAUGGCAUAUGCUAAUUUUGUAUUUGACUAUUGAUUUACGUGGACUUGUGUACCGGUUAUGAUAUUACAA